UAUAUAUAUAUAUAUAUAUUAAAUUGGUUCAAACCAAAUUAUGUUCACCCAUAUUUAUAUGUGUGACCAAGCAAAGAUUAUGAAGUGUUGUAUUUUUUAUCCAUAUUUUUCUUUCCAUAUUAAUGUUUCAUCCACAGGCACCUCAAGGGUACACCUUUCUUUUGCUUGAUUCUUCUAGUAUCUAAGGAUAUUUCACGGUUUGUUUCUCUUGGGGAAAGAAACUUUUUAAAAGUAGGUGUCUAUUAUAGGGAGAAAAAAAUAGCAACUUGUUGUCGAUCUGAUGAUUUUCUUUUUGUAAGAAAAUGAUGGUGUUAGAACAGAGAAUGUAAACAUUUGAUGACCAUGAAUCCAUGAUUUUUUUCAAAAUUGCUACCUUGUGUCACAGAGGAAAACCUGAUAUUUGCAAGCUGGAAAUUUUUUUGUAUAGAAAUUAGGGGAAAAAAGUUUAUUUCCAAACCUGCAAUGUUGGAAACCCCUUGCAUUGUGACAACCUAAUAUCUUUUUUCUUUUUAAAUACAUCAACAGAAUUAUGAAUUUUUUUUCUACUUGCUUUCCUUUGUGAGCUUCUUUUUACUGUCUGACUCUGUCUUGAAUACUAUCUGGUUUUUUUGCAGGGAAAACAAAAAUCUCACAGG
rnacentral:misc_RNA from 1 species